GACGAACGCUGGCGGCGUGCUUAACACAUGCAAGUCGAACGGAAAGGCCCUGCUCUUGUGGGGUGCUCGAUUGGCGAACGGGUGAGUAACACGUGAGUAACCUGCCCUUGACUUUGGGAUAACUUCAGGAAACUGGGGCUAAUACCGGAUAGGAGCUCUUGCUGCAUGGUGGGGGUUGGAAAGUUUCGGCGGUUGGGGAUGGACUCGCGGCUUAUCAGCUGGUUGGUGGGGUAGUGGCUUACCAAGGCUUCGAAGGGUAGCCGGCCUGAGAGGGUGACCGGCGACAUUGGGACUGAGAUACGGCCCAGACUCCUACGGGAGGCAGCAGUGGGGAACAUUGCACAAUGGGCGGAAGCCUGAUGCAGCGGCGCCGCGUGCGGGAUGACGGCCUUCGGGUUGUAAACCGCUUUCGCCUGUGACGAAGCGUGAGUGACGGUAAUGGGUAAAGAAGCACCGGCUAACUACGUG
rnacentral:rRNA from 1 species